rnacentral:rRNA from 1 species
GAUGAACGCUGGCGGUAUGCCUAACACAUGCAAGUCGAACGGCCGCACAGUAAGCUCUUGCUCUUACGGUUGGCGAGUGGCGGACGGGUGAGGCAUACAUCGCAAUCUACUUUUUCGUGGGGGAUAACGUGGGGAAACUUACACUACUACCUCAUACGAUCUACGGGUUAAAUCAGGAGAUCUUCGGACCUUUCCCGAUUCUAUUAGCCGAUGUCGGAUUAGCUAGUUGGCGGGGUAAAGGCACACCAAGGCAACGAUCCGUAGCUGAUCUGAGAGGAUGAUCGGCCACACUGGAACUGAGACACGGUCCAGACUCCUACGGGAGGCAGCAGUGGGGAAUAUUGCGCAAUGGGCGAAAGCCUGACCCAGCAAUACCGCGUGAGUGAAGAAGGCCUUCGGGUUGUAAAGCCCUUUUGUUGGGAAAGAACAGAAGCAGGUUAAUACGCGGCUGUUCUGACGGUACCCAAAGAAUAAGCACCGGCUAACUUCGUG